rnacentral:rRNA from 1 species
CAGUCGCCGCGGUAAUACAGAGGGUGCAAGCGUUAAUCGGAAUUACUGGGCGUAAAGCGCGCGUAGGUGGUUUGGUAAGAUGGAUGUGAAAUCCCCGGGCUCAACCUGGGAACUGCAUCCAUAACUGCCUGACUAGAGUACGGUAGAGGGUGGUGGAAUUUCCUGUGUAGCGGUGAAAUGCGUAGAUAUAGGAAGGAACACCAGUGGCGAAGGCGACCACCUGGACUGAUACUGACACUGAGGUGCGAAAGCGUGGGGAGCAAACAGGAUUAGAUACCCCUGUAGUCCCUGUCUCUUAUAC